rnacentral:rRNA from 1 species
UACGAAGGGGGCUAGCGUUGCUCGGAAUCACUGGGCGUAAAGCGCACGUAGGCGGCUUUUUAAGUCAGGGGUGAAAUCCUGGAGCUCAACUCCAGAACUGCCUUUGAUACUGAGAAGCUUGAGUCCGGGAGAGGUGAGUGGAACUGCGAGUGUAGAGGUGAAAUUCGUAGAUAUUCGCAAGAACACCAGUGGCGAAGGCGGGUCUCUGGACAGUUCCUGACGCUGAUGCACGAAGGUCAGGGGAGCAAACGGG